GACGAACGCUGGCGGCGUGCUUAACACAUGCAAGUCGAACGGAAAGGCCCUGCUUUUGUGGGGUGCUCGAGUGGCGAACGGGUGAGUAACACGUGAGUAACCUGCCCUUGACUUUGGGAUAACUUCAGGAGACUGGGGCUAAUACCGGAUAGGAGCUCCUGCUGCAUGGUGGGGGUUGGAAAGUUUCGGCGGUUGGGGAUGGACUCGCGGCUUAUCAGCUUGUUGGUGGGGUAGUGGCUUACCAAGGCUUUGACGGGUAGCCGGCCUGAGAGGGUGACCGGCCACAUUGGGACUGAGAUAGGCCCAGACUCCUACGGGAGGCAGCAGUGGGGAAUAUUGCACAAUGGGCGGAAGCCUGAUGCAGCAACGCCGCGUGCGGGAUGACGGCCUUCGGGUUGUAAACCGCUUUCGCCUGUGACGAAGCGUGAGUGACGGUAAUGGGUAAAGAAGCACCGGCUAACUACGUG
rnacentral:rRNA from 1 species